rnacentral:rRNA from 1 species
UACGUAGGUGGCGAGCGUUGUCCGGAAUUAUUGGGCGUAAAGGAUGCGUAGGCGGUCUUUUAAGUGGGAUGUGAAAUCCCUGGGCUUAACCCAGGAACUGCAUUCCAAACUGGGAGACUAGAGUGCGGGAGAGGAAAGUGGAAUUCCUAGUGUAGCGGUGAAAUGCGUAGAGAUUAGGAGGAACACCAGUUGCGAAGGCGACUUUCUGGAACGUAACUGACGCUGAUGCAUGAAAGCGUGGGGAGCAAACAGG